rnacentral:lncRNA from 1 species
CAAAAUGGCAGCAGCCAGCCUGACCAUUCCCUUCCCAUCAUGAGGGAGAGGGCUGUGGUAUGGACAGCAGCAGCUGACUGGCCACAGGUGCAGCCACUGCCAUCCAGCCCCGACUCAUUCCUAGAAUAAGAACCACCAGACUGCCCUCUGACACCUGCCUCAGCGGUCCCCACCACUCCUCAAACCCUGUCACCGUCCACAGACAAGCCCUGGAGGGGUGGGGAAAAGGUUUCAUUGUGAGAAACCACUGGGGAUCCUGAAGUUAAAACUCAUCAAAGUGUGGGGAAAACUAAGACUGGCCUAGCAGGAUUUUUACUCUCAAGCUAAUCUACA